ACCUUCUUGCUUCCUCAUCCAACUCUCUGGCUGACCAUUGUUUCCACCCAUUGCCUGUGAGUCUGCAGUGUCCACUCUGGAAGGAGUAUAUUUCCUCUCUCCAUGCACCCUGGACUUGGCUAUGUGGCUUGAUACAUUUGAAGGAAUGUGAGCAGCAGUGACUUGUGCAAUGCCGGCCGUCACAUUGAAGAAGGGUCAUAUUAUGGAGGAAACUGAUAUCUUCAUAAUUACCUGAAACUCAUAUCUUCGUGAUUACCUCCAAACUCACUGCAUGAUGAAAACAUGGAGCAGAAGCCAUAUGUAAUCUACUAUAAACAUGCACUAAGAGGAAGAAAUAAACCUUUGUUGUCACCGUCUACUAA